CAUUGUUUCUAACAAGCAGUUCUAAUGCUGGUGGUCACAUUAAACAUGAAGAUCUUUCAUUACUAUGAAUGUGACUUCUUUUUAAUUUAGUUCUAAAACAUUUAUUAAAUCAUGUUUGCCAUGUUGUUAUCAUUUCAGCCUAUGAGCUGACUUUCUGUGUUUAUCUUUCUUAGUUUUUCUAUGCAAUCUCAAGUAGCAAGUCUUCUAAUGUUAUUGUUCUGUUGCUGGCACAGAUUAUGGGAAUGUAUUUUGUAUCUUCUGUGCUUCUGAUUCGAAUGAGUAUGCCUCUAGAAUAUCGUACUAUCAUUACCGAAGUUUUAGGAGAAUUACAGUUUAACUUCUACCACCGAUGGUUUGAUGUUAUAUUUCUUGUCAGUGCUCUCUCCAGCAUCCUGUUUCUCUAUCUGGCACAUAAGCAGGCUCCUGAGAAACAUAUGACACUCUGAAUUUAUUUUAAUUCUACAGCCUGCAGUUAUUCGCAAUUAUGGAUUUGGCAUAUCACCAUUUUAAGAUGGCUCUUCAAUGAUGGACACUCAUUUCUUUGGUUCAAAUCAGAUGCUUCACUAUAGACAAGGAGUGACAAGCAGUCUCACAAGGACAGUCUCCAGCUCCAUAAAAAAGAGAAAAUUUUUUAAAAAGGGGAAUAUUAGAGACUUUUCAAAAGACUGGCUAUGACGACACCAUUCUGCAAUUUUUUUUCAAUGGAGUUGGCAAAAUGUUUGCUUCAUUGUCUUUACCUUGAAGAUAAUGAUUCUAAAGACUAAAUAAAACAAUAUUUGUAAUAAUUCCCAAUAAUUUUCUUAUAGUUUAUAGAUUUGUAAAGUUUCUUCUUUGAAGUGGAACAAAGUUUGAUGAAUUAUUAAUUUCUGACUGAAGUGAAAAAAAAAUCCCUAUCUCCCUGGAACUAAAAAAUACAAGCGUUGUCUAGUACUGCUAAUCACUUCCCUCCUUUCAUGCCAUUAAAUUAACAUUCACAAUGUCAGGUCCAAGCAUUAAAAGUGGUCAUCUCCAAAACUGUUAA